rnacentral:rRNA from 1 species
UACGGGGGGGGCAAGCGUUGUUCGGAAUUACUGGGCGUAAAGGGCUCGUAGGCGGCCAACUAAGUCGGAUGUGAAAUCCCCAGGCUUAACCUGGGAACUGCAUCCGAUACUGGUUGGCUUGAAUCCGGGAGAGGGAUGCGGAAUUCCAGGUGUAGCGGUGAAAUGCGUAGAUAUCUGGAGGAACACCGGUGGCGAAGGCGGGUCUCUGGGCCGUUACUGACGCUGAGGAGCGAAAGCGUGGGGAGCGAACAGG